UAUAAGCCACAAAUCUAUUGGCUUAGUCCAUCUCUGUUCAACAUACCAAAAAAAAAAAAAAAAAAAAGACAAGCAUUGCCUGAAUAGAAUGUAAGGUUUGCAACCACAUGAAAAUUAUGAUAAAAAAGUUUUGAGUUCCUGGAUUAAGGCAACUUACUUUGCGGACGAUGUAGGCGUUGGCUAGAGGUCUGUCAUUUGAGGCAAAUAAACGGCUGUAAGAUGAUCGCAAAAUUCAGGUUUACAUAUGUCCUAUAUCCGGAAAAAUAUUGCCUUCCACUUGCUUUGUUACAAACGUUUCAAAUGCGCCUGAUUCCCUCACGUACUAAAUGUUUACAUAGCUGUGGGCAUCGAUGUUUUGAUCACUUAUAUGGUGAGCUGUUUCCAAUGAAUCGGUCUAAUCUAAAAGUGCAUUAUUGUCCUCCGCUGCCGAAUUGUGAACGAACGAUUUUAAUGGGU